UUUAUGCUGGUUUCCGUGCCCAACGUUUGACCGUCCGUCUUAUUUGAAAAAAUUAUGAAAAAAAUUAAAAAAACAAGUCACGCAUAAAAUAUUAAUCAUGUUUUAUCAUCUAACAACAAUAAAAAUACGAAUUAUAAAAAAAUUUCAUAUAAGACGGACAGUCAAAGUUGGACACGGAAACCCAGGGUUUGCCUUUUU
rnacentral:pre_miRNA from 1 species